UAAAACAAUUGUAACCACGAAUAGACCAUUUUGAGUUCACGCUUAUUCAACGGAAUUCUCCUUAGGGUAGAAUCUGUGACUGGAGGCACUAAAAUAUCUCGAAAUGUCUCCAACAAGCCAAACCAAAGCCGCGAAAGCAAGUAAAAAAGAGGUUUCGGGAGCAAGUUUACAUAAAUCCAAUAAAAAAAAUCAUCUAGCUCUGCCAACAAUGACUGCUGCUCUUUUUCACACCGGGCCUGCAACUCGUCCAUCUUUUCUUUAGUCUCAGCCUCUGCGUUAUCAUUUUCGUCUCCAUCAAGA